rnacentral:lncRNA from 1 species
UUAGUUUAAUGAUAAUUUUAGCAAGAAUUUCCUGUCUUUCUGCUUUUGUACAAUCUCCUUAACUCUUCUCCAUCCUUCAACUCUCAAACUUUCUUUCCGUCUCUCUCCACACUGGUUAAGUGCUCAUCCUUCCUCUAAUAAUACAGUGGCUUGUGUUUGUGCCUCACCAGAGAGAGGGCCUCAAGAGCAGAAUGGAGUCAUUCAUCUCUGUACCAAGGACCAAGCCCAGUGCCGUGGUUACUGGUGCCACUUGACUAGAGUGUGUCAGGUAGCAGAGUGCAGAAGUGACUGACUGAACUUGACUUCCUGCUCCGAACAAAGGUAACUCAUGAAAGAAACUGUAAAGAUCCAGACAUAUGAUCAAAUACCGACCAAAUUCUACCAUUUAAACUU